rnacentral:rRNA from 1 species
AGUGGGGAAUCUUGCGCAAUGGGCGAAAGCCUGACGCAGCCAUGCCGCGUGGAUGAUGAAGGUCUUAGGAUUGUAAAAUCCUUUCACCGGUGAAGAUAAUGACUGUAGCCGGAGAAGAAGCCCCGGCUAACUUCGUGCCAGCAGCCGCGGUAAUACGAAGGGGGCUAGCGUUGCUCGGAAUUACUGGGCGUAAAGGGAGCGUAGGCGGACAUUUAAGUCAGGGGUGAAAUCCCGAGGCUCAACCUCGGAACUGCCUUUGAUACUGGAUGUCUUGAGUGUGAGAGAGGUGAGUGGAACUCCGAGUGUAGAGGUGAAAUUCGUAGAUAUUCGGAAGAACACCAGUGGCGAAGGCGACAUACUGGCUCAUUACUGACGCUGAGGCGCGAAAGCGUGGGGAGCAAA